CGGAGGGUGCAAGCGUUAUCCGGAUUUACUGGGUUUAAAGGGUGCGUAGGUGGGUAGGAAAGUCAGUGGUGAAAUCUUCGGGCUUAACCCGGAAACUGCCAUUGAUACUAUUUAUCUUGAAUACUUUGGAGGUAAGCGGAAUAUGUCAUGUAGCGGUGAAAUGCUUAGAUAUGACAUAGAAUACCAAUUGCGAAGGCAGCUUACUACACAGUUAUUGACACUGAGGCACGAAAGCGUGGGGAUCAAACAGGAUUAGAUACCCUGGUAGUCCACGCCCUAAACGAUGGAUACUCGACAUCAGCGAUACACUGUUGGUGUCUGAGCGAAAGCAUUAAGUAUCCCACCUGGGAAGUACGAUCGCAAGAUUG
rnacentral:rRNA from 1 species